UACGGGGGGGGCAAGCGUUGUUCGGAAUUACUGGGCGUAAAGGGCUCGUAGGUGGCCAACUAAGUCAGACGUGAAAUCCCUCGGCUUAACCGGGGAACUGCGUCUGAUACUGGAUGGCUUGAGUUUGGGAGAGGGAUGCGGAAUUCCAGGUGUAGCGGUGAAAUGCGUAGAUAUCUGGAGGAACACCGGCGGCGAAGGCGGGUCUCUGGGACGGUACUGACGCUGAGACGCGAAAGCGUGGGGAGCGAACAGG
rnacentral:rRNA from 1 species